AGCAAUUGGUUCCAGUGAAAAAUCAGUUAAGGAAAUUUUUCAAAAUGGAAGGAUAGUUUUUGUUUUGUAAUGAGGGUUUGCCAAUUAGUCACAAAUGAACUUGAGCACAUUUUCUUGAUAAUCAUGAAGGAUGAUGACUAAAUGGAUCAGCCACACAUAUUUUAUAGUUUGUACCCUGCAGUGUGGGUCUUUACCUACUGCGUUCCAAGUACUUACAAAUUAAGUUGUUAAUGACUGAUCAAUAUUUUAAAGCUAAGUGUCACAAGAAACAAUUAGAUUACAUAAUUGAGUUUUAGCUAAUGUGAGUUUCUGCAGAAGUUCACGUGCUAAAAUAACAUUUCAACUUUACACUUGUCUUCUGCUAAGUUGUUUUAUUUUUCUCUUUCCCUCUUCAACAUCCUGAUCAGAUCUCCAAAUUUCCAAAUCAACUUUCAUUGUUCAAGACUCAGUGUAGAUUUCACAUACCAGGGCUGCUGUGACAAAUAACCACAAACUCGGUGACUUACGUCAGAAAUGUAUUUUCUCACAGUUUGGGAGGCCAGAAGACUGAAAGCAAGACAUCACCAGAGUUGAUUUCUUCCAGAGGCUCUUCGAAUCUGUUUCAUGCUUCUCUUCUUGCCGCUGGCUGAUGGUGAUUUGUGACAGUUUUAAGUUCCCAGAAAUGUGUGGAGACUGGCUGGCUGUCAGGAAGACAUACAAGGAGACUUUUAUGUUGGCGAUUUACAGAAACUCAGAUGCAACUUAAUCUUUCAGGUGUAAAAACUUGAUCUUGUUGGUGAUCCAGAAAUCAGACUCAAGAAUCAUGACUCAUACUUGUUAAAAGAGACAUAACAACAAAAAAUAAUAAUAAUUUAUUGAGUAAAUGGGUCAUAUUGCUCUUUGAUGAGAAUUUUGGCAAUAUUUAUUAAGAAACUUAACUGUAUUGAUAUACAUUUAUUUAUAAAUCUGUAUAGUGAGGAGACCAGAGACCCACACUUACAUAGAAUCAUGUUAAUUUAUAGUUGUGUGUGUUUAAUUAGGAGUAUUCAUGUUUACCAAAAAUUUUUAUAACAGAAAAAAAUUAAAACUGCUAAGUGUUCAAACAAGAG